rnacentral:misc_RNA from 1 species
GAUUAGUGCGUUAGGGAUAGAAGCGGCAUAUUUUUCUAUUUAAAUUGAUGUUCACUAAGAUGAAAGAGUGAAUUAUAAAUAGAAAAAAUAGAGCUGAAAGCCCGCCCGAAC